UUAUCAAAAACAUGUCUUUUUGUAAAUAAUAUAAAGUCUAAUCUGCCCACUGAUUUAAUUAUUAAAGGGCUGCAGUAUUUUGACUGUACAAAGGUAGCAUAAUCAUUAGUCAUUUAAUUGAUGACUUGUAUGAAAGAUUGGAUGAAAUAUAAACUGUCUCUUAAUUAUGAUAUAAAAUUUAAUUUUUUAGUUAAAAAGCUAAAAUUAAUUAAAAAGACGAGAAGACCCUAUAGAGUUUUAUAAAUUAUAAUUAUUAAGAUUAUUUAUAAAAUUAAUAAUUAAAAUAAUUUAAUUUAAUUUGUUGGGGUGACAAAAAAAUAAAAAUAACUUUUUUUUUAUUAGACAUAAAUAAGUGAAUAAUUGAUCCAAUAUUAUUGAUUAUAAGAAAAAAUUACCUUAGGGAUAACAGCGUAAUUUUUUUUUUUAGUUCAUAUAAAAAAAAGAGUUUGCGACCUCGAUGUUGGAUUAAGAUAAAAUU
rnacentral:rRNA from 1 species